rnacentral:rRNA from 1 species
UACGAAGGGGGCUAGCGUUGUUCGGAAUUACUGGGCGUAAAGCGUGCGCAGGCGGCUGCUCAAGUCAGGGGUGAAAGCCCAGAGCUCAACUCUGGAAUUGCCUUUGAGACUGAGUGGCUUGAGUACGGGAGAGGUGAGUGGAAUUCCCAGUGUAGAGGUGAAAUUCGUAGAUAUUGGGAAGAACACCGGUGGCGAAGGCGGCGACCUGGUCCGACACUGACGCUGAGGCGCGAAAGCGUGGGGAGCAAACAGG